UACGGGGGGUGCGAGCGUUGUCCGGAAUCACUGGGCGUAAAGGGCUCGUAGGCGGCCAACUAAGUCAGACGUGAAAUCCCUCGGCUUAACCGGGGAACUGCGUCUGAUACUGGAUGGCUUGAGUGUGGGAGAGGGAUGCGGAAUUCCAGGUGUAGCGGUGAAAUGCGUAGAUAUCUGGAGGAACACCGGUGGCGAAGGCGGCAUCCUGGACCACGACUGACGCUGAGGAGCGAAAGCCAGGGGAGCAAACGGG
rnacentral:rRNA from 1 species